GUGGGACUAGUUUAUCCGGCGAAAACUCCUAUCUGGCUGAUAGAAGAGAACGGUUCGAGUCCGUUGUCCUACA
rnacentral:tRNA from 1 species